rnacentral:rRNA from 1 species
UACGUAGGUGGCAAGCGUUGUCCGGAUUUACUGGGCGUAAAGGGCGUGCAGGCGGUCUGUUAAGUCUAGGGUGAAAGCUCCCGGCUCAACUGGGAGAGGUCCUUGGAUACUGGCGGACUUGAGGGAUGCAGAGGAAAGUGGAAUUCCCGGUGUAGUGGUGAUAUGCGUAGAUAUCGGGAGGAACACCUAUGGCGAAGGCAGCUCGCUGGGACGUUACUGACGCUGAGACGCGAAAGCGUGGGGAGCAAACAGG